rnacentral:rRNA from 1 species
AUUAACGCUGGCGGCAGGCCUAACACCUGCAGGUCGAGCGGAUGAAGGGAGCUUGCUCCUGGAUUCAGCGGCGGACGGGUGAGUAAUGCCUAGGAAUCUGCCUGGUAGUGGGGGAUAACGUCCGGAAACGGGCGCUAAUACCGCAUACGUCCUGAGGGAGAAAGUGGGGGAUCUUCGGACCUCACGCUAUCAGAUGAGCCUAGGUCGGAUUAGCUAGUUGGUGGGGUAAAGGCCUACCAGGGCGACGAUCCGUAACUGGUCUGAGAGGAUGAUCAGUCACACUGGAACUGAGACACGGUCCAGACUCCUACGGGAGGCAGCAGUGGGGAAUAUUGGACAAUGGGCGAAAGCCUGAUCCAGCCAUGCCGCGUGUGAAGAAGGUCUUCGGAUUGUAAAGCACUUUAAGUUGGGAGGAAGGGCAGUAAGUUAAUACCUUGCUGUUUUGACGUUACCAACAGAAUAAGCACCGGCUAACUUCGUG